rnacentral:rRNA from 1 species
UACGGAGGGGUGCAAGCGUUUAAUCCGGAAUUACUGGGCGUAAAGCGUGCGUAGGCGGUUCGUUAAGUCUGUUGUGAAGCCCCGGGCUCAACCUGGGAAUGGCAAUGGAUACUGGCGAGCUAGAGUGUGUCAGAGGAUGGUGGAAUUCCCGGUGUAGCGGUGAAAUGCGUAGAGAUCGGGAGGAACUCAGUGGCGAAGGCGGCCAUCUGGGACAACACUGACGCUGAGGCACGAAAGCGUGGGGAGCAAACAGG